rnacentral:lncRNA from 1 species
UACAGGGUGGACAGGAGUGACUCCCCACAAGGCGAAGACAGACUAAAGCAUGGAAGGUCCUGCUCAUCCAUGAAUGUCUCUAUAUGGAUAAAUUUUGAUUUUAAAAUCAUCUCCAUUUGCAUUGAUUUAUCUUGUCGACACACCACUGUUUUAGAGCAAUUUUGCCAUGAACAUCCAUCGCUGUUUCUUAGCUCUUCUCUUCCUUGGCCUGCUCUCUACCUCAGAAACUGAAGAUACUUAUGAAGUCACUAGUGUCCUGGACUGUAAAAAUCUAACAGUGUGUAAUUUUCAAAAUGCAACUGAACACUGCUCUGAUGCUAAAGAGGUCAGAAUGUGCAUCUUGCGUCUUAGGAAAACUCCAAAACAACAAAUCUUAAAGAAAUAGAAAUCAGGAAGACAAGAUGAUUGGCUCCUUUGUCAUAACAAUAAAGUCUGAAUUUCUCUUCUACUUCCUGUAAUGAAGCACAUCCAUUUAUUGACAGUUUAAACAGCUUAAAAAAGAAAUCUUUUAUUUUUAGAACAAAAUACAAUGAGGAUGAUCAUAUCUUCUUCAGUUCCAACCAGUCAAGACAUAU